UACGGAGGGAGCUAGCGUUGUUCGGAAUUACUGGGCGUAAAGCGCACGUAGGCGGCUUUGUAAGUUAGAGGUGAAAGCCUGGAGCUCAACUCCAGAAUUGCCUUUAAGACUGCAUCGCUUGAAUCCAGGAGAGGUGAGUGGAAUUCCGAGUGUAGAGGUGAAAUUCGUAGAUAUUCGGAAGAACACCAGUGGCGAAGGCGGCUCACUGGACUGGUAUUGACGCUGAGGUGGCGAAAGCGUGGGGAGCAAACAGG
rnacentral:rRNA from 1 species